GAGAUCGUAUUUUAAUCUAGUUCGCGAGGAAAGAAUAAAACUUGGGCUCGAGCAACCCAUCUUUAGGCCUAAUUUUUGGACCUAGUCCAUAAUUACCAAGCCUAUAAUUCCUAGGCCCAUACCUCUAACCUAAUCCCUACCCCUAUAUAAUAGUACCUAAUCCCUACAUAGACCUACACCUAAAAAAACCUUACAGAUCCGCCGUUCUUCAGAAAAAUACACAACAAAAAUGAGAACAAAAAAUUGAGAGCCAAAGACCUCUAGAAAAAGAUUCGCAGUUUCCUAAUCAAAGAAGAACCCCCUCCCCCGUCGGAUUCUGGGCUUCUCUUUCACAAUUAAAAAGCUAGUUUCAUCUUCAAAAAGAGAAAACAAAAAAGAAAGCAGCCAUCAUCUCCCAACAUUGAGACCUAGCGGAACGACACUAGCAGAAAAUGCAGCAAAAGAUCUAGCAAACCGCAGCAGCUCCGGCUUCUCUAUCCCACUUCAGAAAUCGGUUCUGAAGCCAUGUAAAUUUAUCUCCGCUAGGUCACUGCUUUUCCCGGCGUUUCGCCGGAGUUGUGCCAUCUCCGAUCAACUCUUUCACUACAAAACUUAGCGGCUUCAGUUUCUUUAACCGCUAUUGGUCUCUUAAGUUGAGCCCAACCCGUCAAGGUCGUCGAGGUCUCCGGCGAGUUGUUUGAUUGAAUUUUCGUUACCGAGCUUUGUUUUUUUAAAAACGAACUUCUAAGUUUGCAGAGGUCCGUUUUCUCGUUCAUUCUUUCUUGCUGUCUGUUAGCUUGUUAAAAUAAUAUCAAAUGCUUUCAGCUCAGUAAAUGCCUCCAAAUGUACGUUGCUUGCUUCUGUUACAUAUAAAGCCAUGAGAGUUCCAUUUCAAUUUCAAUUAUUUUCAUAUCAAAUAUGUCUUAGAUGUUUUCUUUAAAUAUUUGUGGUGCCAAUUUCCUUCCUUAGCCUUUCUUGUAGAUAUUGGCUGUCUAGGACCUUCUUAUUGUAUCAUAUUCAUUUGGCCUCAAUAAUUCUUUGGGAUAUGUAUAGUUUUGGGAAUAGGCAAAUGGGAGUAUAAUAAGGAAGGCUUAUUUAGACCGUAUGCUUGGUCUCUAAACUUAAUUAGUCUAAGUUGAGGCUCUAAUUGAUUUGAGACAAAAUAGAUCCUGUUAAUCAUCCUAUUUACUCCCUAAUAAAAUUUUAUGCAUAAAGCAUGGCCUUACAACAAUCUUCAAUAAUUAUGAAUAUCGCAGCUUACUUUAGGUGCAAUUAAUAAUAAAAGAUCGUGACUAUGGGUACGGUUCCCGUGACAUAGUCAUGAUACCUAAUUCCCAAAUUCGGGUGUGCAUUUAUGUGACCCAAAUCCAAAUGUCAACAACAUUAGAUAAAAUGCGUCGUGGACCGCGGGUGCACUUAUGUGACGUGGUUCAAGACGUGUUUUAGAUGAUGUUGAAUCUUCCUAAAAUUAACUAAAAGUGAUUAAUAAUUUAAAAUUAUACCAUAGGCUAAAACAUGUAUUAAAAUCAGGUAAUAGGCCAAUUAUGAUAGUUUAAGCGACCGUGCUAGAACCACGAAAUCCGGGGGUGCCUAACACCUUCCCUCGGGUUAACAGAAUUCCUUAUUCAGAAUUUUCGGUUCGUAGACUUCAAAAGGAAAGUCAAAAUUUCCUCGAUUUGGGAUUUAAAAUAAACCGGUGACUUGGAACACCAAUUAAAAUAUUCCAAGUAGCGACUCUGAAUUGAAUAAAUAAUCCAAUUUCGAAUAAUGUCACUUUAAUUGGAAAAAUUUCCUUGUACUACCUUCGGGUGUGUAAAAGGAGGUGUGACACUCACCAUCUGUGAGAGAAUAGAAUAACAGAAGUUUAGUACUCGGAUCAAUAGAUUCACACGACAAGAAUUUCAAGAAUAUGAAGUUUUUCCUAAAGGAUCUGCAACCUCUCGAGGAUAAAUACAGACGUCUCUGUACCAAUCCGCGAGACUGUACUAAACCUGCUCAUGACUCGUGAGACCUAUGUAACCUAGGCUCUGAUACCAACUAGUCACGACCCCUAAACCCAUACCCGGUCAUGAUGUCGCCUCUCGUAAAGACAAGGCCAGCUGACAAAACACCCAAUUCAUUUUAAACAAUUAUAAUAACAUAAUUUAAGUCAUUAAUAUGCUAAUAAGCCCGAAAUAAAAGUGAAUUAAUACAAUUUAUGGAAACCGGCACAGACCGACAUCGGGAUGUCAACAGUCAUGAGCAUCUAAACAUGUGUCUAAGAGUCUGAAAGAGUUUAUACAGUCUAUUACGAAACUAGAAAUAGAAAGUGAGAUAUGAGGGAGAAACACUAGGCUGCGAAUGCCGAGCAACUACCUCGUGGACUCUGAAUGGCCUGCUGGGAGCAAUCAACCCUCAAGGCGGGACCUGAAGCUCCUAAAUCUGCACACAGGGUACAGGGAGUAAAGUGAGUACUCCUACUCAGUGAGUAAUAACAAUAAAUGAAGACUGAGCAAUAAGAAAUCACGUAAAACACAACAACAUGCUAUAAAGAGGCAGUGUAAAACCAAUAAAAAAUGCAAUAAAAUAGUGAAAUCUUAUAAAACACCUUAGUUAAGUACAAGCUUCUUUAAAACACGUUUUUAACAGUUAAACAAGUAGAUGAAAAAUAGAUAGAAAAGAUAAAUACAUAAAAUACGCCUCUCGGGCACAAUGUCAACAGAAUCAGCCCCUCGGGUAAUAACCUGGAACAACACCAGCCCCUCGGGCUAUAUAACAUAUCACACUGGGUACUUGCGCUCACUAGGGGUGUACAGACUUCGGGAGGAGCCCCUUACGGCCCAAGCGCAAUAUCAACCCAUCUAGUGGCAUAAUCAAUAGGCUCUCGACCUCAUAUCAAGCCACCUUGUGGCGUACAACUCAUACCCUCGGCCUCAUAAUCAUAAUCAGUACAACACUACUGCGGCAUGCAGCCCGAUCCCAUAAUAAUCCUCAUAACACAGGACCUCAGCCCUACUCAGUCAGAAAUCUCUAAAAGCCACUCGGGCACAGUAAAAUAUGAUGCUCAGCCCAAAAUAUCAUUUAAAGUGUUAAAACAGAGUAAACAUGAUUGAGUUAUGAAAAUAGUAGAAUAUAUCAUGACUGAGUGCAAAUAUAAAAAUAAAAAUAGUGACGAGACCCAAAUAUGAAUUCAGCCCAAAACAUGAUGAUAGCAAACAGUUUUCAAUCAAAUAUGCGGUAAAACAAUAAUUUGGGAUGGACUAACUCAUAAUCCCCAACGGUGCACGGUCCCACGCUCAUCAUCUAACGUGUGCGUCACCUCAAUAUAGCACAACAGUGUGAAAUCCAGGUUUCAAGCCCCUAGGACAACAUUUACAAUCAUUACUCACCUUUAUCCGGUCCAAACUCUAGCCCGCGAUGCCCUUGCCUCUCAAAUCGGCCUCCAGAUGCUCCAAAUCUAACUAAAAUCAGUGCAAAACCAUCAAAAUAUGCUAAGGGAACAAAGCCCACUCGAAAGAAAUUAAAUUACAACACAAAUCCCGAAAUUGGCCAAAUCCAACCCCCGGGCCCACGUCUCGGAAUCCGAUAAAAAUUACAUCAAUAGACUCCUUAUCACUCCCCGAGUUCAUUCAUAUCAAAAUAACCAAAAUCCAACCAUAAAUGGUCCCUCAAAUCCCCAAUUUUAGGUCUCCAAUUACAAGCCNNNNNNNNNNNNNNNNNNNNNNNNNUCAAAAAGUCUAUCAAACCACGUCCGAAUGACCUAAAAUUUUGCAUACACAUCCCAAAUGACACAACGGACAUACUUCAACUUCUGGAAUUCCAUUUCGACCCAUAUAUCAAAAUCUCACCUAUCAACCGGAAAACGCCAAAAUUCCAAUUUCGCCAAUUCAAGCCUAAAUCCACUCCGGACCUCCAAAAUAGAUUCCGAUCAUGAUCCUAAGUCCCAAAUCACCUCCCAAAGCUAUCCGAACCAUCGAAACUCAUAUCCGAUCCCUUUAUCACAUAACUCAAUAUCCGAUUGAAUUUUCCAACUUAAGCUUACUCAAAAGAGACUAAGUGUCUCAAACCUUACCAAAACCUCUCCGAACUCGAGCCAACCAACCCGAUAAUACAAAAUACAGCUGAACAAGGCAAUAAGAAGAAGAAAUAGGGGAAAUAAAGCAGUAAUUCAUGAAUCGACUAGCCGGGUCAUUACAACUACACAGGUUUUGUUUGGUAGUAUUGUCCUAGCCUCGUCACUACUUUGCCGAGGUUAGGAUAAACACUUACCAGUACAUGGGGUCGGUUGUGCUGAUACUACACUCUGCAUAGUGUGCAGAUCCCGAUGCUACAGCUUUUGGACCACAGUGAGGUUGCUGCGUUCAGUCCAGUGGCGGAGACCCGAGGUAGUCCUGUAGGCGUCCGCAGGCCUUGACGUUUCCUUCUAUCUUUCAUUCUGUUUCUUUUAUGUAUUUCAAAGACAACUUUGUAUUUAUCUUUCAGACCACUAUUUGUAGUAUUCGUAGAUAGUCCAUGACAUUGUGACACCAAAUUCUGGGUAGAGUUGUAUGUUGGAUUCUGUACUAGUAUAUGGUUAAACUAUUA
rnacentral:lncRNA from 1 species